rnacentral:rRNA from 1 species
AUGAACGCUGGCGGCGUGCCUAAUACCUGCAAGUCGAGCGCACAGACGAGGAGCUUGCUCCUCUGACGUUAGCGGCGGACGGGUGAGUAACACGUGGAUAACCUACCUAUAAGACUGGGAUAACUUCGGGAAACUGGAGCUAAUACCGGAUAAUAUAUUGAACCGCAUGGUUCAAUAGUGAAAGACGGUUUUGCUGUCACUUAUAGAUGGAUCCGCGCCGCAUUAGCUAGUUGGUAAGGUAACGGCUUACCAAGGCAACGAUGCGUAGCCGACCUGAGAGGGUGAUCGGCCACACUGGAACUGAGACACGGUCCAGACUCCUACGGGAGGCAGCAGUAGGGAAUCUUCCGCAAUGGGCGAAAGCCUGACGGAGCAACGCCGCGUGAGUGAUGAAGGUCUUCGGAUCGUAAAACUCUGUUAUUAGGGAAGAACAAAUGUGUAAGUAACUAUGCACGUCUUGACGGUACCUAAUCAGAAAGCCACGGCUAACUACGUG